AAAAAAAUGUAACAAGGUCUCCGUAGGUGAACCUGCGGAGGGAUCAUUACACAAAUAUGAAGGCGGGCUGGAACCUCUCGGGGUUACAGCCUUGCUGAAUUAUUCACCCUUGUCUUUUGCGUACUUCUUGUUUCCUUGGUGGGUUCGCCCACCACUAGGACAAACAUAAACCUUUUGUAAUUGCAAUCAGCGUCAGUAACAAAUUAAUAAUUACAACUUUCAACAACGGAUCUCUUGGUUCUGGCAUCGAUGAAGAACGCAGCGAAAUGCGAUAAGUAGUGUGAAUUGCAGAAUUCAGUGAAUCAUCGAAUCUUUGAACGCACAUUGCGCCCUUUGGUAUUCCAAAGGGCAUGCCUGUUCGAGCGUCAUUUGUACCCUCAAGCUUUGCUUGGUGUUGGGCGUCUUGUCUCUAGCUUUGCUGGAGACUCGCCUUAAAGUAAUUGGCAGCCGGCCUACUGGUUUCGGAGCGCAGCACAAGUCGCACUCUCUAUCAGCAAAGGUCUAGCAUCCAUUAAGCCUUUUUUUUCAACUUUUGACCUCGGAUCAGGUAGGGAUACCCGCUGAACUUAAGCAUAUCAAUAAGCGGAGGAAAAGAAACCAACAGGGAUUGCCCUAGUAACGGCGAGUGAAGCGGCAACAGCUCAAAUUUGAAAUCUGGCUCUUUUAGAGUCCGAGUUGUAAUU
rnacentral:rRNA from 1 species